GAUGAAGAACGCAGCGAAAUGCGAUAAGUAGUGUGAAUUGCAGAAUUCAGUGAUUCAUCGAAUCUUUGAACGCACAUUGCGCCCCUUGGUAUUCCAUGGGGCAUGCCUGUUCGAGCGUCAUUUGUACCUUCAAGCUCUGCUUGGUGUUGGGUGUUUGUCUCGCCUCUGCGUGUAGACUCGCCUCAAAACAAUUGGCAGCCGGCGUAUUGAUUUCGGAGCGCAGUACAUCUCGCGCUUUGCACUCAUAACGACGACGUCCAAAAGUACAUUUUUACACUCUUGACCUCGGAUCAGGUAGGGAUACCCGCUGAACUUAAGCAUAUCAAUAAGCGGAGGA
rnacentral:misc_RNA from 1 species